AAUAGAUACCCGGGUAGUCCACGCCGUAAACGAUGCGGACUAGGUGUCGGGGGUAUCGACCCCCUCGGCGCCGCAGCUAACGCAUUAAGUCCGCCGCCUGGGGACUACGGCCGCAAGGCUAAAACUCAAAGGAAUUGACGGGGGGCCCGCACAAGCAGCGGAGCAUGUGGUUUAAUUCGAAGCAACGCGAAGAACCUUACCAGGACUUGACAUCCCGCUGACCAGUCUAGAGAUAGGCUUUCCCUUCGGGGCAGUGGUGACAGGUGGUGCAUGGUUGUCGUCAGCUCGUGUCGUGAGAUGUUGGGUUAAGUCCCGCAACGAGCGCAACCCUUAAUCUUAGUUGCCAGCAUUCAGUUGGGCACUCUAAGGUGACUGCCGGUGACAAACCGGAGGAAGGUGGGGAUGACGUCAAAUCAUCAUGCCCCUUAUGUCCUGGGCUACACACGUGCUACAAUGGGCAGUACAAAGGGUAGCGAAGCCGCGAGGUGGAGCCAAUCCCAUAAAGCUGCUCUCAGUUCGGAUUGCAGG
rnacentral:rRNA from 1 species